rnacentral:rRNA from 1 species
UACGGAGGGAGCUAGCGUUGUUCGGAAUUACUGGGCGUAAAGCGCACGUAGGCGGCUACUCAAGUCAGAGGUGAAAGCCCGGGGCUCAACCCCGGAACUGCCUUUGAAACUAGGUAGCUAGAAUCUUGGAGAGGUCAGUGGAAUUCCGAGUGUAGAGGUGAAAUUCGUAGAUAUUCGGACGAACACCAGUGGCGAAGGCGACUGACUGGACAAGUAUUGGCGCUGAGGUGCGAAAGCGUGGGGAGCAAACAGG